AUACUUACCUGGACGGGGUCAAUGGGUGAUCACGAAUGCCCAUGUCCUAUAUCAGUGACCUCCAUUGCACUUAGGAGGGGUGCUGGUCUAAGAUCUCCCCAAGUUGGGAGAGUCUACGUCAUAAUUUGUUGCGGAGGGGGCCUGCGUUCGCGCGGCCCCUA